rnacentral:snRNA from 1 species
UGCUGCUGUGGGACCCUCUCCACACACUUGAACCUCGCCUUUUACUAGAUUCAACCGGGUUGGUCCCACAAUGAUAGCAGCAUGUACGACUUUUUCGACUUCGUUCCGGAUCGGAA